rnacentral:lncRNA from 1 species
CCCUCUUCUACACACACACACACACGCGCUCUCUCCUUCCCCCGUCUCCAGACAAUUGAUCUGCACCAUUCAAUGGCGAUUAUGGUGCGAUAACAAUCAGACCAACCAUUGAAACAUUUAAUGUAGCCAUAGAGGUAACGAUUCACGGUGAUGAUUGCGUAGGUAAUGCGGGUGGAGGUGGUAGACAUGGGUGGUGGCGGUGGAGCUGUAGUAAUUAGAAAACAAUUGGAGUGGACUGCGCCAUACACCAAGAAGUCCUCCAUUUGCCAUCUGGUAAGCAGCGCCAAUUUCCUUCUCUAGACCUUAACUCUUAUAAUUGGAACGAUAGUAAUUUGAUUACCAGUGCAAUUUCCAUAUCUCAUGUAAACGAAAUUCCUCUGAAGACUCCACUAUAAAGCCCUCAUCUUGUUACUUCAAAUCGAUCAAUCAAGUCCAUGACCUUCACUUGUAUAAGAGACAAAAGAUCUAACAAAAGAAAUAGGCAUAGAUCUAACAGAGGGAGUUAUGGUAGAGAAGUCGGUAAUGGAGGCUAUGGCCGUCGUGGUCGUGGUUAUGGAAACGAUAGUCGAGUUGGAUAUGGUGUUGGUGACCAUGGCUAUAGAAGCGACGACUGUUCAAUCCUUGUAAUUUAUCUUAUUAAGAUUAUAGACACUAUUUUAUCAUUUCAUGAAUUAAAGCACCACCCAGCCUCAAAA